UGGGGUAUCGUCUAACGGUAGGACAGCUGACUCUGAAUCAGUAAGUUGGGGUUCGAAUCCCUGUACCCCAG
rnacentral:tRNA from 1 species